rnacentral:rRNA from 1 species
UACGUAGGGUGCAAGCGUUGUCCGGAAUUAUUGGGCGUAAAGAGCUCGUAGGCGGUCUGUCGCGUCGGCUGUGAAAACUCGGGGCUCAACCCCGAGCCUGCAGUCGAUACGGGCAGACUAGAGUGCUGUAGGGGAGACUGGAAUUCCUGGUGUAGCGGUGAAAUGCGCAGAUAUCAGGAGGAACACCGGUGGCGAAGGCGGGUCUCUGGGCCGAUACUGACGCUGAGGAGCGAAAGCGUGGGGAGCGAACAGGA